UAAGGUACCUUCAAUCGGUCCUGAACCAAGAUGUCUGUUACUUCGACACCGAGGUUCGAACAUCCAACGUCGUUUACACCAUCAAUGCUGACGCCGUCAUCGUCCAUGACGCCAUAAGCGAGAAGUUGGGGAAUUUUAUUCACUAUAUGGGAACUCUGGUUUCGUCGUUGGAUUCACGGCAGUGUGACAGCUCGCUCUCGUCACACUCUCCGUGGUGCUCAUCGCCGUCAUCGACGGCAUUCACACUACUACGAUGGCCAAGCUUUCUUCCAAGAGUCGUGACGCUCUCUCUCGAGCCAUCAACAUAGCGGAGAAAGUCCGAAUCAAAAUAUUUUGUUUGUUUGGAGAUAAGCGCUGUGAUCAGUAUCUUGACCACGAAGUUCACUUAUUCACCGCAGACGAAUCAUCGAAAGGGUGGAUUAUUAGGGCUUGCUGCAGUGACAGUUGGAUUGGCAACAACAGCUCCCCAACAUAUUGAUUGAUUGUCCGUCGUUGAAUGAGAUUCUUCCCGAGUCGAUAUUCAUAACUAUCAUUAAGAUGGAGUUUGCCAAUCAUAGAGUUCAUGGUGGUGAAUAGGUUAGAGGAGGUACUCCCAUAGGGAGCAACAAUCUGAUACGACGUUCUAAUGCAGACGACGCUGAUAACAGGGAUGCCGACAACGACGAUGACGAGGAGUAAGACUUGUUCUUAUAUUUAUGUAGUUUUUAAUUGUGUGAAGAUAUAUUAUGACUUUCGAAUUUUACCUAUAUGUAAUAUAUUUGUGAUUUUAUUGUGUAGUGAAUGAAUAUUAUUUGA